UUGAGAGUGUGAGGGAUAACACGCUGAAGCUUGCAUUUGGCGAAAAUGUUAUUGAAACAGAUAAGCUAAGUGUAGUUAUUGUACCUGGGAUGUGAAAGCACAAAAAGAAAACCCUAAUUAAAUAGCAGUUAAUAUAAAGAUAGUAUUGUUUUGUUCUGUUAUCUCACUACAUGCUCUAAACAUUUCUGAUGUUAGACAUCAGGCUGAAACUGCCAUUGGCCUUUAAAUAAAAUGGUUUGAGAAAAGCCGACUAGGACCAAAUAAGAGCUAAAUUAAAUAAUCCAAAUAAGAGCUAAACAAAGUAGUGUAGAGUUUACCAGUUAUUCUAACAAAAUCCUAAGGCUGUCCUUAGAUUUAAGAUAAUGGGGAAAAAAAAAGUAGUGUUGUCUUUGGACAACAUGAUAUUGCUACCUCCUUUUUCCUGCAGUUUUAUUGCAUUUUAUUGGCAAAACACGGAAAGCAAGAGAAUGAAAAGUGCACGAAUUUAAAGACUAAACAUCAAGAGUUGGAAAUGUUUCCAGUUUUGCCAUCACUAAUGUGUGUCAAUUGCUUUCUUUCUGUAUGUUGGGAGCACAACCUAAUCAUAAUUUGAGAAGAGAUUAAUUUCUAUACUUGAAUGGUUUUAUUAAAAUUGUGUUUUCUCCACAUGGUGGCUGUGCAAAUCAACAUGUUUCAGGAAUGGCUUUUCAGCCUGAAGAGUGCUAUCUUAGACUUUUGAGAUGCCUCAAAAAAGAAACUUCAGGUUGAAAAGAGUAGUUGUGGUUAUACAUAUGGUGUCUUAAAACGUGCACAUUGCACGAAGUGUUCCCAGCUUUUGGAAGGAAAGAUGCUUGAGCUUGUGUUUCAUGACUGGUGUUGCUUUUAAAUUUGCACUUUUAAAAAUUCAUAUAAUUAAAUUCAAAAACAUAGUUUGUUUUUGUUGUUGUAAGGGCUCUGGAGUGAAUGGCUGUGAAUUAUCCACUGUGUAUUUCAAACAGAUAAGAAGCUGUGGCUGUCAGGUCCAGUAAAUACAAGCAAGAAGUUAGUAAAAUGCAGUCAUCCAUGCUUGCUGAUUUAUCGUUUCAGGAAAAUAAAAACCUAACAGAAUCUUGGAAGAUUAUUCCU
rnacentral:lncRNA from 1 species